UGUGAUAAUUAAGUUCUCUAGUAUGAAUGUGAUGAUUUUGGGGAUCAAUUGAUUUGUCCAUUUUUAUUUGAAAUAGGUGAUCUUAUAAGCUUCAAGUUUUUCUACCUAGUUUCCCAAAAAUAUCCACCCUUCAAUAAACCUAAGCCACGCUAUAACCCGAAAAGUCCUCGAAAGGUGCAUAUUCAUCGUAUGUCGAUCGAUUUUUAGAGUCCUUGCAAGCCUAUGGUAGAAAGGUGUAGAUUGUGUUGAUUGAGUGUAUGUCCCUACACUUGAGAGAAUUUUGGUGAGAUUGUGUGAAAAUAGAAUUGAGCUUGAUCGAUGAAUGUUGGAUGAAUUGUUUUGAAUUUCCGAUUGGUUGUUAGUAGAUAAAAGUGACCUUGAGCAUGAUAAUUUUUGUAAAAUGACAUGUUUUGUUCUUAUUGAUUAUGGAGAUAGAUUAACAUGAAUGUUUGGUUUGGUGUUUGACGUCGAGUUGUACUAUUUUGAAAGCAUUGUUCCUUGAGGACAAGCAACAGAUUAAGUUUGGGGUUGUGAUGAAUCCUCAUACCAGUCUCUAUUUUUAGUCUUUUUAAUGAAGUUUUAAUAUCAUUUUAUUA
rnacentral:lncRNA from 1 species